rnacentral:tRNA from 1 species
CAUUGAUAGCUUAAAUAUAGAGCAUAGCAUUGAAGAUGCUAAGGCGGCAAUCUUUGCCUCAAAGCA